rnacentral:misc_RNA from 1 species
GGUGAAGAACGCAGCGAAAUGCGAUAAGUAAUGUGAAUUGCAGAAUUCAGUGAAUCAUCGAAUCUUUGAACGCACCUUGCGCCCUUUGGCCAUUCCGAAGGGCAUGCCUGUUUGAGUAUCAUGAACACCUCAACUCUUCAUGGUUUUCCAUGAUGAGCUUGGACUUUGGGGGUCUUGCUGGCCUGUGGGUCGGCUCCUCUCAAAUGAAUCAGCUUGCCGGUUUUUGGUGGGCAUCACAGGUGUGAUAACUAUCUACGCUUGUGGUUUUCCACCAGGGUAACCUUCAGCAGUGGAGGCUCACUGGAGCUUACAAAUGUCUCUCCUCUGUGAGGACAGCCCUUUGAAUGUUUGAUCUCAAAUCAGGUAGGACUACCCGCUGAACUUAAGCAUAUCAAUAAGCGGAGGA